GAUGAACGCUGGCGGCGUGCUUAAUACAUGCAAGUCGAGCGAACGGACGAGAAGCUUGCUUCUCUGAUGUUAGCGGCGGACGGGUGAGUAACACGUGGAUAACCUACCUAUAAGACUGGGAUAACUUCGGGAAACCGGAGCUAAUACCGGAUAAUAUUUUGAACCGCAUGGUUCAAAAGUGAAAGACGGUCUUGCUGUCACUUAUAGAUGGAUCCGCGCUGCAUUAGCUAGUUGGUAAGGUAACGGCUUACCAAGGCAACGAUGCAUAGCCGACCUGAGAGGGUGAUCGGCCACACUGGAACUGAGACACGGUCCAGACUCCUACGGGAGGCAGCAGUAGGGAAUCUUCCGCAAUGGGCGAAAGCCUGACGGAGCAACGCCGCGUGAGUGAUGAAGGUCUUCGGAUCGUAAAACUCUGUUAUUAGGGAAGAACAUAUGUGUAAGUAACUGUGCACAUCUUGACGGUACCUAAUCAGAAAGCCACGGCUAACUACGUG
rnacentral:rRNA from 1 species